rnacentral:tRNA from 1 species
CAUUAAGUGACUGAAAGCAAGUAAUGGUCUCUUAAACCAAUAUAUAGUAUAUUAGCGUAUACUCUUAAUGA